GGUAUAAUUGCUGGGUCAUGUGGUAACUCUGUUUAGCAUUUUAAGAAAUCAUCAGACUGUUUUUCCAAGCUGCUUCACCAUUUUAUGUUCCAAUCAGAAAU
rnacentral:pre_miRNA from 1 species